CCGAGUUUACAACUCCCAAACCCAAUGUGAACGUUACCGAACUGUUGCCUCGGCGGGAUAUUUGCCCCGGGCGCGUCGCAGCCCCGGACCAAGGCGCCCGCCGGAGGACCAACCAAAACUCUUGUUGUAUGCCCCGUCGCGGGGUUUUUUUUUUUACUAUCUGAGCCACCUCGGCGCCCAUCGCGGGCGUUUCGAAAAUGAAUCA
rnacentral:misc_RNA from 1 species